rnacentral:lncRNA from 1 species
AUGAAGCCCUGUCACAGUCUUCUACAGUGUAAUCUGUUUAUAAAGCCCUGUCACAGUCUUCUACAGUGUAAUCUGUUUAUAAAGCCCUGUCACAGUCUUCUACAGUGUAAUAUGUUUAUAAAGCCCCGUCACAGUCUUCUACAGUGUAAUAUGUUUAUAAAGCCCUGUCACAGUCUUCUACAGUGUAAUCUGUUUAUAAAGCCCUGUCACAGUCUUCUACAGUGUAAUCUGUUUAUAAAGCCCUGUCACAGUCUUCUACAGUGUAAUCUGUUUAUAAAGCCCUGUCACAGUCUUCUACAGUGUAAUCUGUUUAUAAAGCCCUGUCACAGUCUUCUACAGUGUAAUCUGUUUAUAAAGCCCCGUCACAGUUUUCUACAGUGUAAUCUGUUUCUAAAGCCCUGUCACAGUCUUCUACAGUGUAAUCUGUUUCUAAAGCCCUGUCACAGUCUUCUACAGUGUAAUCUGUUUAUAAAGCCCCGUCACAGUCUUCUACAGUGUAAUCUGUUUCUAAAGCCCUGUCACAGUCUUCAACAGUGUAAUCUGUUUCUAAAAUCCUGUCACAGUCUUCAACAGUGUAAUCUGUUUAUAAAGCCCUGUCACAGUCUUCUACAGUGUAAUCUGUUUAUAAAGCCCUGUCACAGUCUUCUACAGUGUAAUCUGUUUCUAAAGCCCUGUCACAGUCUUCUACAGUGUAAUCUGUUCAUAAAGCCCUGUCACAGUCUUCUACAGUGUAAUCUGUUUAUAAAGCCCUGUCACAGUCUUCUACAGUGUAAUCUGUUUCUAAAGCCCUGUCACAGUCUUCUACAGUGUAAUCUGUUUAUAAAGCCCUGUCACAGUCUUCUACAGUGUAAUCUGUUUAUAAAGCCCUGUCACAGUCUUCUACAGUGUAAUCUGUUUAUAAAGCCCUGUCACAGUCUUCUACAGUGUAAUCUGUUUAUAAAGCCCUGUCACAGUCUUCUACAGUGUAAUCUGUUUAUAAAGCCCUGUCACAGUCUUCUACAGUGUAAUCUGUUUAUAAAGCCCUGUCACAGUCUUCUACAGUGUAAUCUGUUCCCAAAUGCUAGUAAUGGCGGUUUGUAG